UACGUAGGGUGCAAGCGUUGUCCGGAAUUAUUGGGCGUAAAGGGCUCGUAGGCGGUCCAUCGCGUCGGGAGUGAAAAGCUGGGGGCUCAACCCCCAGUCCUGCUUCCGAUACGGGUGGACUAGAGGUAUGCAGGGGAGAACGGAAUUCCUGGUGUAGCGGUGAAAUGACGCAGAUAUCAGGAGGAACACCGGUGGCGAAGGCGGUUCUCUGGGCAUUACCUGACGCUGAGGAGCGAAAGCGUGGGGAGCGAACAGG
rnacentral:rRNA from 1 species